AAAGAAAGGAACCCAUUGAGGUCCAGGUUAUUUCCAAGCCUAGGGGCCCCAGAGGGGCAACACCUUGUGAAAAAGUGUGCAUCAUAAUAUAAAGACGGCUUCUACCUAUAGUUUCAUGGCUACUCAAAACAGCGCUGUGAGAAGAUCAAGACCAGAAUCUGCUUCACCAGGAGGAGGACCAGAGAGGUGGCCGCUGCUCCAAAAUCUCCUGAUCAAUUAAAAGAUUAUCCCUCAUCCUCAGUACUUCCUAAAAUGAAUUUUGUUUCAUUAAUAUCCAGUUUGCAAAACAUUGGCAUGAGCCUAUCUUGUUCUGACCAGUACCUGACAUCAAAAGCUGCAUUAAGUUUUGUUCCAAAGAUUAAGUGUUUUAAUAAUUUCUCUUUUAUCCUCUUGUGUCCUUUCCUUUCAUCUGUGUUGCAGCUUCGGUUUGCUAUUUACAAAUGUCAUGUUGAAAUUUUAUUGUAUGAAAAAUUAUCCCAAAAUAUUAGUGAAUUCACAAUUGCAAUCCGAUUUUGAAUGUCUUCAUUGUUUGUUUGUUUGUUUGUUUGUUUGUUUGGUUUGCCAAAAUUUAAUUUGAAUAUAUAUCAGGGUUGGUUUGAAUCAUUCAAUAAUAAAAUUCAUUUCAUACCCCUUA